GAUAGCAAAUUAGAUAAGGUUUCUAUGAGCAUAGAUUUUGGAUGAUUUGGAGUUGUAAUGACUUUGUAAGAGCUUUACAAAGUCAAGUUUGUUUUUGGAUGACUUGGAUUUUGUGAAAUAAAAUAGGGUUGAUAUUUCUAGUGAUUUCAAGUAUUUUGUAAUAGAUCUAUAAGUGAAAUUUUAUAAAUUAAUGGUCAUAGUUGUGCUU
rnacentral:lncRNA from 1 species